AAAUGAGAGAAGUUCGUUUUUGUUGCCAUUCCACGUGGUCCCCGGGGAGUCGUUGAUGAGCAGGAGCAGAGCUCGAUGAGCUCCAACUUUCCAAUUUUUUUGCUCAUUUU
ensembl:ncRNA C02B10.71 ncRNA